rnacentral:rRNA from 1 species
ACGUACACUCCUGCGGGAGGCAGCAGUGAGGAAUAUUGGACAAUGGGUGGAAGCCUGAUCCAGCCAUCCCGCGUGCAGGAAGACGGCCCUAUGGGUUGUAAACUGCUUUUAUCUGGGGAUAAACCUACUUACGUGUAAGUAGCUGAAGGUACCAGAAGAAUAAGCACCGGCUAACUCCGUGCCAGCAGCCGCGGUAAUACGGAGGGUGCAAGCGUUAUCCGGAUUUAUUGGGUUUAAAGGGUCCGUAGGCGGACUGAUAAGUCAGUGGUGAAAUCCGACAGCUUAACUGUCGAACUGCCAUUGAUACUGUUAGUCUUGAGUAAGGUUGAAGUGGCUGGAAUAAGUAGUGUAGCGGUGAAAUGCAUAGAUAUUACUUAGAACACCAAUUGCGAAGGCAGGUCACUAAGUCUUAACUGACGCUGAUGGACGAAAGCGUGGGGAGCGAACAGGAUUAGAAACCCCAGUAGUCC